rnacentral:rRNA from 1 species
AACGAACGCUGGCGGCAUGCCUAACACAUGCAAGUCGAACGAGACCUUCGGGUCUAGUGGCGCACGGGUGCGUAACGCGUGGGAACCUGCCCUUAGGUUCGGAAUAACUCCCCGAAAGGGGUGCUAAUACCGGAUAAUGUCUUCGGACCAAAGAUUUAUCGCCUUUGGAUGGGCCCGCGUUGGAUUAGCUAGUUGGUAGGGUAAAAGCCUACCAAGGCGACGAUCCAUAGCUGGUCUGAGAGGAUGAUCAGCCACACUGGGACUGAGACACGGCCCAGACUCCUACGGGAGGCAGCAGUGGGGAAUAUUAGACAAUGGGCGAAAGCCUGAUCCAGCCAUGCCGCGUGAGUGAUGAAGGCCUUAGGGUUGUAAAGCUCUUUUACCCGGGAUGAUAAUGACAGUACCGGGAGAAUAAGCCCCGGCUAACUCCGUG